AAAGGUUCCGCCAGCAGCGCGCGAAUGUGGCUCCUGGUCGAGCUGCCCUUCAAAGCUGGAAUCACCUCUUCCCGGGUUGCUAGCAAGACCACUGCAGGCUGCGUGUUGCGUCCUCCUGGAGCGUUGAGCCAGACUGCCUGCCCACAGAAUGGGAUGGGCUUAUGCUAGUAGGACUUUACAUCAGAAGCCAUGGAGAUGAGAAGGAAGUGGAACUACGGAUUUAAGGUGCUAAAAGAAAAGACUGUCAACUCGGAUUUCUAUAUCUAGCAUAAAUCACCUUCAGGAAUUAAGACGAUGAAAAUGAAAUGAAGGAACUCAUCGAGGGUCAUGGAUUUGAACCCAGGCAGGAUCCAGAAUUUGUACACUUAACCUCGGCUGAGUUGUUGGCCAGAACAUCCACAUCAGGCUUCUCCAUGGGGCCUGGGCUUCCUCACAACAUGGCAACUGGGUUCCCAGGAUAUAUUCUAAGACAAAGAGCCAGGGAGAAGCUGUACCAUCUUUUCUAAUUCAGCCUUGGAAGCCACACAGUGUCACCUCUGCUGCAUUCUAUUCAUCAUCAGCCACAAGUCUUGCCAGGUUCCCGAGGAGGUGAAAUAGACUGCCACUCUCUUCUACCAAGAGGGGAAACAUUCUUGAAGAACAUGCGGGAAUGAAAAUAUUGUUGUGGCCAUUUUUGGAAAAUACAAUCUGCCACACUCAGCCAUGUGACAGAUGGGGAAAAUGGAACUCCUUCCUCUUACCCAGAGGAAUGAGUUGUCUAGGUUCAUUCACACAUGGGCAGACCCCAGUGGUCAUGCCUGUGAGCAUGGGACCCAGAAGUCUGGCCCUCCCCUCCCAUCCUCUGCCUUGGGAGAUCCACUCUUGCUCUUCCAGGCCAGGGCUCUGCAAAGGCCAGCUUGUCCAUGCUCAGCUAGUAGUAAUUCUAGCUGUGGUUGACUCCAUUAGCAGCUACAUGUUUCUUCCUCUUUGAGAUGGGUGGGUGGAUGGCCUUGGGAGAGCUCGUUCUUCCUCAGCUUCUAGGCCCAUCUGGCUGGGGUAUCUAUCAAUGAGAAAGCCUAAGCCCAUUCCCACCUCAGUCACCUUCGACAGCCAGGAUGAUCUGAUUGGCUGAGCCCCAACCACAGGUACAAUCAGCAACAGUGGAGGGGCCAAAUUCCGAGCUAAGCAGAGUUAUCAUGGGUGGGAAGUUUUCAGGGAAGGGAGGUUGUGACUUGAAAAGACACCCCUAAAAUAUAUAUUGGCUCCUGCAUUAGAUUUUAUUUAAUGGUUUGUGGAUUCGUUUCCCUUGCCCUCUACAACCAAUUUAUCAGCAAGCUCUCUAAAAUAUACCCUGAAUCAAUUCAUUUCAUUCUCUCUCUGUUGCCCCCAGCCUCACCCAGGCCACCAGUGUCUCCUGCCAGAAUGAUUGUACCAUCCCUUCUCUGAUCUCAUGUCUACUUCUGCCUCCCUCUAGCUUAUAUCUGUACAGUAGCCAGAGGGAUUAUUUCACAAUGUGAACCAGUUAGUAUUUCUCCCUGUUUACAGCCCCACCCACAGUGGCUUCUCCUAAAAUCUGGACUCUUCACUGAGGCCACUACCUGUAUGUCUUACCUUUUACGACAUUCAUUCUGGCCACACUGGUAUCCUUUGUGUUCUUCCAAUAUGCCAAGCUCAGUCCUGCCUUGAGAGUUUUGCACUUGCCAUUUUAUCUGCCUGCAAUGUAUUAAGCCAGUUUGUCAUGUGUCUUUCAGGUCUCAGUUCAAACAUCAUGGUAUGCCUUAGGUUAGGCAAAAGUGCUAUAACAACAACAAAAAAAAGACCCCAGAAUGUGUGAUGGCUCAAGCGCACUAGAAGUUUAUUUCUUACCUAUGUAAUAGAUGUGCCAGUGCAAUGGAUGGCUCUCCUCCAUGUGAUGAUACAGUGAUCCAGGUUCUUCCAUCUUGGGGCCUGCUGUCACUUGCAUUCAGCCGGGGAAAAAGGAAAGAGAACAUGGAGGAAGCUCAUCUCCUUCUGAAAGCUUAGGUUUGAAAGAGGCAUUCAUCACAUCUCCCAUCCCACUGACAGGAGCUGUUCAUAUGGCCAUACCUGGAUGCAGAGGGACUGGGAAACGUCGCCCUUGCCUGGGCAGCCACUUGUCAGUUCCAACCACACACUAGCAAGGGGAGCAUGGUUUGAUGGACAAAUACCUUGGCCACCUUCUCAGAGAGGCCUUCUCCAACCAUCCCCUCCCCAAAAAUGUCCCUUCAUCCAGUAUCCCUAUUUGAUUUUCUUCAUAAUGUGCUUUAUUUACCCACUUGUUUAUUGUCUCCAUCCCCUUCCAGAAGGUAAGCUCUGUGAGGAUGGAAACCUUGAUUAACUGGUUAAUGUCAUAUUCCUAGCACCUAGAUCAGCACUAGGCCCACAGUGAAUUUUAGUAAAUGUAUAUGGAAUCAAUGAAAGGACAAAUUUCUAUUUUAACGGUGGGAACACAGAGGAUACUGUGAUUUCAUGAACAGAACACGCUUGGCCCAAGGGCUUGGCAUACAGUAGGAUCCCCAUUCAUGCUAAUUCUUUUCAAUCUCCAGUGUCGAUCUUGAGGCUACAGACUUCAGAAAUGCUAGGCUGUGGUCUGUGAGUCAGGAGGCCUGGAUUUGAGUCUGGCUCUGUCCUGACUUCUGUGUGGGACCUUCUUCUCUCCUGUAUGGGCCUUGGUUUCCCAAUCUACAAGAUGGGGGCGGAGCAGGCUGGCUAGACAAACUUCCACAUUCCUCAUGGCUCAAGAAUAGAUGACCACCCCUGAGUAUGUACCUUCUUUUUCCAACUGCUGACCUUUGAGAGAAAGGUCCCCUCCCUUU